rnacentral:sRNA from 1 species
GGAGGUCCUGAGAACCUGAGUUUCGGCAAGCAACCAGGUCUGGAAACUGUGAGUGUGUGGGCUUUUCUCCGACGUCGAGCGUGGUCCUAGCGUAAACAGAUGCAUUCGCCUCUCCGGUUUCAAUCUUUUUUUACGUUCGCGCUUUCCUCAAGGCCGGUGGGUCAGGAGUGGAGCCUUAGUCAUUCUAACGCUAGAGGUGUCAGUAGGGCCAACAGAGUCUGGUCCCUGCACGGCUUGCUGUUGCGCGCUCUCCUAGGCCUCAACUUCCUCUCAACUGUGUGGUCAGUUCAGGCCGGGAAUCCAAUCUUUUCCGAGCUCCAUAUUUUAUCCACUUGGUGGCGUCCAGUCCCAAGUCCGGCAGUUGAAUUCCGCCCUAAAGAUGGGCUUUAUUUCUAUCGUUUUUUAGAUAACAGGACAUUCAGUUAGUAAUGAUGGUUGCAGGUUGAAUACUCUCGCCCUAGAGCUCACCUAACUUGCAGAAUAUUUUAAAAAUGACUACACCAAACAAGACACCUCCUGGUGCUGACCCCAAGCAGUUGGAAAGGACUGGAACAGUACGGGAAAUUGGGUCACAAGCUGUUUGGUCACUCUCAUCUUGCAAACCAGGAUUUGGAGUGGAUCAGUUACGAGAUGACAAUCUAGAAACUUAUUGGCAAUCAGAUGGUUCCCAGCCUCAUUUAGUGAACAUCCAAUUCAGGUAAUUAAUACAUUUUCAAAUUUUUCAUCUAGUGUAGGUUAUAGACAAAUCUAUUUUAUUAACAUAAAAAUUAAAGAUAGAAAUUACAAUGAAAUACACUUAACUUUUUAAAC